GAGACGUUGCCCUUCGGGGUAUACCUCCCACCCAUUGUUUAUUAUACCUUUGUUGCUUUGGCAGACCCGGCUUCGGCCCACCGGCUCCGGCUGGUCAGUGUCUGCCAGAGGACCUAAAACUCUGUUUGUUAAUAUUGUCUGAGUACUAUAUAAUAGUUAAAACUUUCAACAACGGAUCUCUUGGUUCU
rnacentral:misc_RNA from 1 species